AUCCAGCCGACGAUUUCCGAAUAGGACGAAACGGAUGUCCUGGAU
rnacentral:hammerhead_ribozyme from 1 species